rnacentral:rRNA from 1 species
UACGUAGGGGGCGAGCGUUGUCCGGAUUUAUUGGGCGUAAAGGGCGUGUAGGCGGCUGGGUAAGGGUGUGGUGAAAUCUCCCGGCUUAACUGGGAGGGGUCUAGGCCGACUGCCUGGCUAGAGGACGGUAGGGGCGCGCGGAAUUCCCGGUGUAGUGGUGAAAUGCGUAGAGAUCGGGAGGAACACCGGUGGCGAAGGCGGCGCGCUGGGCCGGCCCUGACGCUGAGGCGCGAAAGCGUGGGGAGCGAACUGG